rnacentral:rRNA from 1 species
GAUGAACGCUGGCGGCGUGCCUAAUACAUGCAAGUCGAGCGAACAGACGAGGAGCUUUCGCCCCUGACGUUAGCGGCGGACGGGUGAGUAACACGUGGAUAACCUACCUAUAAGACUGGGAUAACUUCGGAAAACCGGAGCUAAUACCGGAUAAUAUAUUGAACCGCUUGGUUCAAUAGUGAAACACGGUUUUGCUGUCACUUAUAGAUGGAUCCGCGCCGCAUUAGCUACUUGGUAAGGUAACGGCUUACCAAGGCAACGAUGCGUAGCCGACCUGAGAGGGUGAUAGGCCACACUGGAACUGGGACACGGUCCAGACUCCUACGGGAGGCAGCAGUAGGGAAUCUUGCGCAAUGGGCGAAAGCCUGACGGAGCAACGCGGCGUGAGUGAUGAAGGUCUUCGGAUCGUAAAACUCUGUUAUUAGGGAAGAACAAAUGUGUAAGUAACUAUGCACGUCUUGACGGUACCUAAUCAGAAAGCCACGGCUAACUACGUG